AUGUGUUUUAUUCCCAAUAAGUAUGAAAUGACCAAAAUAACCCUAUGCGUGGGAGAAAGUGAAAUGGAUUUUGGAAUUACGGAGGUCAAGUUAAAUUUUUUAAUGAAGGAGGGCAUUUAGUAAUUUCACUUUGGAAAUUUUUAAGUAGAACUUAAUCCUCUCUCGGUCACUCUUCUUCCUUAUUUGCAUCUCGACUCUUCUCCCUAACCUAAACUCUGCAACUCUCUCUAGCCACCAAGAACAGCCUUUAUCACCACCACCAAAUCCGACUGAAAUUCACCUCAUCACCACCAUAAUCCAGAUCUCUGUGACACAAGGAGCUUGGUGGAAAUGUGCAGAGCUCACAAACUCGAGAGCUUCGAGUUUCCCGGUGAGUUUCGAGUUUAAACAAACGAAAGGUUGUUUGGGUUCGAAUUCGACUGCUUGUGAUUCCAGUUUCCAGCGAGGAGGUCCGACGAGAACUUGUCGAAACCGAGGUGGAUUCGACCUCAACCUGUCAAAUUUUUUACCUUGAAAUCGGUGGAGUUCUCCAACGAGACCUCGUCGAAUCCACUUCGGUGGAUUCGACCUCUCUUUGCUCAAAUUCGAUCCAGAAUCCAGCGGCGGAGCAUGGCGGUCGCCGUUAACCUUAAUGGCGGUAGCGGUAGAUUCCGUUAGAGUUAACAGAAUAUCUAACAGCGAAGGUAUAUUCUGUUGAGUUUUAUAGAUUUUUCGACAAAUGGUGCGUGGCCACAGCGUCGACGAUCAGUACAACAGCGCGUCUGCUGGCGGUAGCGUCCAUCGGCGACCAUCUAGCGUGUGAUGUCACUACGACGGCGCAAAGUGGGCCAUGGCGGAGCAUGCAGCAACGUGGGGCGGUGCAUGUGGCGGCCCGUGGGACCUGAGACCUAACCUAAGGUUAUUCAACUGUUGGAUCCUUUCCGAGGCAAUGCCUCGGGAUCCUACCUACCAAACAACAUGGGCUGUUGGAUUUUGAUCCAACGACUACAAAUAGAGGAUUCCUCUAAAAAUUAUAAUAAUUAUCACCGUUAGAUCAAAAUCCAACGACUCAUCUUGUCCAGUCAGUAGGAUCCCGAGACAUUGCCUCGGAGAGGAUCCAAAGGUAUUCGACGUUCCAAAUCACAUGGUGCACUUUAUUUGUACAAACUCAGAGUCAUUUAUCACAUUUAAGUGAAAAUAAAUUAAAUUGAAGAGAGACGCUCAAAAUUUAAGUGAGUGGAUCCCUUCAACGCUCAAGUUUUUUAUUAAUUGUUUUUGAUGAAUUUAACUGUUUUGAAGUAGUCAUCGAUGGGAAUUAAAUAGAAUUGGUUGAUGACCAUGUAGUUGAUUUAUUUAUUAUGAUGAUUAGUUUUCACCACAUGGUCUUUUAUAUGUCAAGUAUAGAUAAUUGCGACCAUAGGAUUUGUGCAUGUGAUAUGAUACUUUUGGUAGAGGCUAGAUAUGCGAGUAGAUGCUAGCAAUGCACAGGUAGACGCCAGUGUAGCCAUGCACUCUUACUAGUAGAUGCUAGUAUUAUUAUUGAUCGGCCCGGUAUGAUUUCUUAAUUAUUGACUUGAAUGUGGUUUCGUUUGACUAUAUAUUGUAGUAGAUACUAGUAUGUAUGUAGUUUGAAACUAUAUAUGAUUUCCAAAAUAGGGGUUAGUAUGGUUGAAACGAUUUUGACUACAUAAAUGAUUAUGACCGCUCACACUUUGUUUUCGCCCUUCAGGACCUAGUGAGCACAAGGCUACAUUUAAGGACGAGUGGGCUUGGCAGUAUUAUAGUCUUCCUACUGUGUAGGGUGCUUCCCUUCUGUUUAUGUUUAUCUAGUUUUGUAAUAAUGUAUGAUCAUAUUUUUUAUUAUGCUUGGCAUUACAAAUACUUUUGUUGGAAAAUAAUAAGUUUAGGAUUUGGGCCCAACCCAUUAGAAUUAGGUUUUCGUUAGGGUUUAGUUUACUAUAAAUAGAAUGCUUGUAAUUCACUUGAGAAUAAGUCCGUUACAAUGUAGUCUUCAGUUUGUCGUCGUCUCGGCAUUCUUCAUUAUAAAUAAUAUCCGUAGUUUAGUAUUA
rnacentral:sRNA from 1 species